rfam:Schistosoma mansoni, Puerto Rico, WGS project CABG01000000 data, contig: 0124
AUUCAGCUGACGAGUCCCAAAUAGGACGAAAUGCGCGUCGAACUGGAU